rnacentral:rRNA from 1 species
GUGGCGAACGGGUGAGUAAUACGUGAGUAACCUGCCCUUGACUCUGGGAUAAGCCCGGGAAACUGGGUCUAAUACUGGAUGCUACAUGUCACCGCAUGGUGGUGUGUGGAAAGGGUUUACUGGUCUUGGAUGGGCUCACGGCCUAUCAGCUUGUUGGUGAGGUAAUGGCUCACCAAGGCGACGACGGGUAGCCGGCCUGAGAGGGUGACCGGCCACACUGGGACUGAGACACGGCCCAGACUCCUACGGGAGGCAGCAGUGGGGAAUAUUGCACAAUGGGCGAAAGCCUGAUGCAGCGACGCCGCGUGAGGGAUGACGGCCUUCGGGUUGUAAACCUCUUUCAGCAGGGAAGAAGCCACAAGUGACGGUACCUGCAGAAGAAGCGCCGGCUAACUACGUGCCAGCAGCCGCGGUAAUACGUAGGGCGCAAGCGUUGUCCGGAAUUAUUGGGCGUAAAGAGCUCGUAGGCGGUUUGUCGCGUCUGCUGUGAAAGCCCGGGGCUUAACCCCGGGUGUGCAGUGGGUACGGGCAGACUAGAGUGCAGUAGGGGAGACUGGAAUUCCUGGUGUAGCGGUGGAAUGCGCAGAUAUCAGGAGGAACACCGAUGGCGAAAGGCAGGUCU